CCUAACACAUGCAAGUCGAGCGAUCUCUUCGGAGAAGAGCGGCGGACGGGUGAGUAACGCGUGGGUAACCUGCCUCAUACACAUGGAUAACAUACCGAAAGGUAUGCUAAUACAGGAUAAUAUAAGAGAUUCACAUGGAUUUCUUAUCAAAGCUCCGGCGGUAUGAGAUGGACCCGCGUCUGAUUAGCUAGUUGGUAAGGUAACGGCUUACCAAGGCGACGAUCAGUAGCCGACCUGAGAGGGUGAUCGGCCACAUUGGAACUGAGACACGGUCCAAACUCCUACGGGAGGCAGCAGUGGGGAAUAUUGCACAAUGGGCGAAAGCCUGAUGCAGCAACGCCGCGUGAGUGAUGAAGGCCUUCGGGUCGUAAAACUCUGCCCUCAAGGAAGAUAAUGACGGUACUUGAGGAGGAAGCCCCGGCUAACUACGUGCCAGCCGCUGC
rnacentral:rRNA from 1 species